rnacentral:lncRNA from 1 species
GUGAACUUUCCUGGCCUCUCAGGGUGGGUUCUAGAUCCCAGAGCGCCACUGCAGGCCCCGCCCACGAGUUUAGCGCAGGACCGAGCCUCGCCCACUCUUUCCUCACUCGUCGGCCCCGCCCACGCCCCAGGCUAGCCACAGCCUACCUCGCCCUCCCUCCUGCCCGCCCCGGGGCGCCACUCUUUCCUCACUCGUCGGCCCCGCCCACGCCCCAGGCUAGCCACAGCCUACCUCGCCCUCCCUCCUGCCCGCCCCGGGGCGCCUGGCCGGCUAUUUUCCCGCCAUUCCUUCUCUUCUUGAGGAGAACUGGAUGUUUAGAGAAAUGUGCCAUUUGUGGAACUCCCUGCAAGCAUCUGACUCUUUCUGACAAUUUGAAACCUCAGGAGAAGAUGUUCUUCAAAAGCCCUGUGGAGACAGCUUUGCAGUAUUUUAGUCAUAUCUCUCAGGUGUGGAGUUUCCAGAAGAAACAAACAGAUCUCCUCAUUGCCUUUUAUAAGCAUAGAAUUACAAAGUUAGAAGCAGCCAUUCAGGAGGCACAGCAAACAGUGACCAGCCAGAACAGAGAGUUAUCAAUCUUGAGAAAAGAGAAUGAAGAACUGAAGAAACUUCUAGCCUUCCUAAAGGAAUCUCCAAGUCGGUACCAAGGAAGCAGGCUGACUACACCUCGACCAGUGUGCAUUACUUCUCCAUCACAGUCAGGUAGAGAAUAGUUUUUUCCCUAACUGUGAGAUGAAUAAAUAUUCUUUCCCCAUAUGAAAGAUGCUUUUUUCUCAGAGCCAUGUGAUACUCCUAAUCUUAUGUAUGAAAUGAGAAGCAUCAUAUAACCAGAUAACCACUCACAACCGAUUGGCUAGACGAGGCAGAGCAUGCCAUUGACAGCAACUUUUCAUCCUGCACUUUAUUUAUUUAUUUUCAGUUACUCCGAGACCCAGUUCCCAGCAUAGUAGCCAGGUGGUCAGGUGAGUAAAAAGCCUGUAAGCAACAUUUAAACCACUGGCAAAAGAUGGAAGAGGAAAGCAAUAUUUAGAUGUGGCUCAGAUUGGGACUGAAGAGACUUUAAGUCUGUGUCCAAAUUUAACACCAAUUUUUCUUUGUUUGUUUCAUUUCACCUUUUACAGUCGGUCCUCCUCUGUAGAAUCUCUGCCUUAUAGAGUGCCUGGCUUUGGUACUGUGGGACCAGUAAGUAAUAUUCACUUUCUCUUUCUAGAUUAAGGUUUCUAAUGCUUAAUGAAAACAAAACAUUAAGACUAAAAUCUAAAAUUUAUGUUGGUUUUUAGUAUAAAUUAUUUGAUCCUAUGCAGACCCUAUUUUGGUUUGGCAAAGGAGAAAAAGGAGAUGGCAAAGGAGACAAAGGAGAUGGCAAAGGAGAUGUUAGAAGCUAACACAGAAUAAAUAGAGAUGGAAGAAGUGAAAGUGUUGAGGGGCUGAAUUAAUAAGUGUUCAUCAUGUUCGUCUUGUUUGGUUUUUUGAGACAGAGUCUUGCUAUGUAGUCCAGGCUGGCCUUGAACUAACAGUAUCCCCUGCUUCAGCCUUCUGAGGGUUGGGAUUACAGGCGUGCACCACCACAUCUAGCUUCAUCAUUUUCAUUUUGGAAGUACUAAAGUAUAGAUCCUUCUUAAGCUAGAGUAGUAUGCUCACUCCAGGAGAACAAUAUAUGCUUGAAUGUGUAGAUAUGGAGAAAUAACAGGGAAUAGGGAAGCUAGAGAACAGGAUAUAUUUAUUAAUGUGUAUUAUUUUUCCAUCAGGAAGGCAGAGUCCUGCAGGGAAGGAGCACCCCCAGAGACUCUAAUAUUGGUGAGAGGGGGGAAAAACGAUCAACAUAAUCAGAAGUCAACAUAAUCUGUGCAGACAGUAGAUUUCUGGUUUUCUGUGCAUCAUGCCAUUUUACUUUGUUUUUUCCAGACAGUGAUUCCAGACAUGUAUUAAAAGUUUUCAAAUAAUUUUUUUUGUUAUUAAACUGACAAAGGGAAAAUAAAAAGUUGAACAACAGAAAGCCAAUAGAAAUCUCUGGUCAGGAAUUUGAGGAUCAAAACAAAAAACAAAAACAAACAAACAGGAAUUUGAGGAUGACUUCCGAGUAAAAUUGAUUUGAAUUUUUAAAAUUGCCACCAGAUGGCAGUAUAAGUUAGGUCUAAAAGGAACGUGUGUGUGUGUGUGUGUGUGUGUGUGUGUGUGUGUGUGUGUGUGUGUGUGUGUGUGUGUGUGUGUGUGUGUGUG